rnacentral:rRNA from 1 species
AGAGUUUGAUCCUGGCUCAGGAUGAACGCUGACAGAAUGCUUAACACAUGCAAGUCAACUUGAACUUCGGUUUGGGUGGCGGACGGGUGAGUAACGCGUAAAGAACUUGCCUCACAGUUAGGGACAACAUUUGGAAACGAAUGCUAAUACCUGAUAUUAUGAUUUUAGGGCAUCCUAGGAUUAUGAAAGCUAUAUGCGCUGUGAGAGAGCUUUGCGUCCCAUUAGCUAGUUGGAGAGGUAACGGCUCACCAAGGCGAUGAUGGGUAGCCGGCCUGAGAGGGUGAACGGCCACAAGGGGACUGAGACACGGCCCUUACUCCUACGGGAGGCAGCAGUGGGGAAUAUUGGACAAUGGACCAAGAGUCUGAUCCAGCAAUUCUGUGUGCACGAUGACGUUUUUCGGAAUGUAAAGUGCUUUCAGUUGGGAAGAAAAAAAUGACGGUACCAACAGAAGAAGUGACGGCUAAAUACGUGCCAGCAGCCGCGGUAAUACGUAUGGUGCAAGCGUUAUCCGGAUUUACUGGGUGUAAAGGGAGCGUAGACGGCGAAGCAAGUCUGAAGUGAAAACCCAGGGCUCAACCCUGGGACUGCUUUGGAAACUGUUUUGCUAGAGUGUCGGAGAGGUAAGUGGAAUUCCUAGUGUAGCGGUGAAAUGCGUAGAUAUUAGGAAGAACACCAGUGGCGAAGGCGGCUUACUGGACAGUAACUGACGUUGAGGCUCGAAAGCGUGGGGAGCAAACAGGAUUAGAUACCCUGGUAGUCCACGCCGUAAACG